rnacentral:lncRNA from 1 species
GUUUCUAAACCGAAGCGCACCAUCGGCGUUUAUACUGAAAUCGCCGCCUCGACCAUCCUCGAUGUUUCGCCACACCUUCUGGAGUUCUGGGUCCGCAGGUUGCAGAUCUUUGAUCCUCUCCAACAAGGUCGGUUGGACAACGAGUGCCAUCAACUGGGCUGGAAUCUCGGGAGGAACCACUUCGAGAUCCAGUCGUUUCAUAUCCCGCCAUAGGGGCGUUUGCUGGGUAAUAUCAAAAGCGAAAUUCUUCGCCGACUUCCUACUCAGCGCAUCCGCGACCACAUUUGCCUUCC